rnacentral:rRNA from 1 species
AUGAAGAUGCCUCUUAAAGUUAAGGCAUUCUCUUGGUUAGUAAUCAAAAAUAGGAUUCUGACCAAGGACAAUCUGAGUAAAAAAGGCUGGAAAGGUGCUAAGUUUUGUGAAUUUUGUGACUGUGAAGAGAGUGUGAAUCAUUUGUUUUUCUCUUGUUCCUUAGCUAAGUUCCUGUGGAAUAUUGUGGGAUGUGCUCUAGGGAGCCACAGAGCUCCAAUGUCUUUUUUCGACUUAUGCCAGAACUGGUUGCCUAGUUAUACUGGCAAAGAUAGAGUAGUUGUUUUAUUGGGUACUGCUGCUCUCUUAUGGUCUAUAUGGAAAACAAGGAACAAAUCCUGUUUUCAAAGUGUUAUAUGCCUAGAGAUCCUACUAACAUUAUCUUUCUUGUUUGUUCCCUACUUGACACAGGAAAAAUCUGCAGAAAAGAGGGGUGCAAAGCAUGCUUCAUCAGGUGUCUAG